GGAGGGAGGCCAGUCCUGGACUCCCCUCAACCCUGGGAUUCCAACACUCAGAUCACCCUGGCCUGGACAAUGGGACAGUGGGAGGAGCCACAUUCUCCUUGGAAGGCACGUGUUGUAAAUACCUUAAUAGGGUAGAUAAUGACCUUAGUUCAUCUUUGUGAAUGGCAGCAUCAUUCAAUUGUGGAUUACUGACGCUUGUGUGCCCAAAACUGAAACCCAUGUCUCAUUGCACAGGUCCCUCUCGGUCUAACAAGGACACCCGGCACACAAACAGCAAGGCUUCUCACUCCCCAAAGGUCACAGGUAGCACGUUCCCGCCAUAGACAAAGGUUGGAAGAGAUUAAUAAUGAAUCAAUCAUCUCUCCCUUUGCAGCUAGUGUCUAAAAGUGCUCAACUGUGGGGUGGAAAGAGAUCGUUGGGGGUGGUGGUGGGAGUGGAGAGCAGUGGGAAUGACCUCGAGUUCUGUGGGGUCCCAACAGGGAGGGUCAGGCUGUGGUUCCCCAGGGCCAUCUGCCCCAUCCCUCCCGGUGCUAAGGCCAGCCUUGGACUUGGAGGGCCAAGUUCUGGCCCUGAAUGUUUUUUCUUUCUGGCAGAGGAUGUAAAGCACAGGCCCCAAUGUCAUCUUACGUGGCAGAAUGCAUGCAGGGCAGGAGCCAGCUCAGCGGUGCCUCUCUAGAACCCAGUCUGGGCCAGGCCCUGUCAGAGCUGGAGGUUCCCCGAUGACUUCUGCAAGGCAUCUUUGAGAAACCUGCAGUCUUUUUGGGCCCCAGGUGUGCACAUGGGGUGAAUGUGGUGGCUGCAGUGCUGGGUGUGUGUCGGGGAUCAUGGAGGAGAGACCGAGACACAGUCACCGUGGUGCAAGGAGAGUACACAGCUGAGUCGGGUCUGAAGGCUGCUGUGGGCCCAGGAGGGCUGGAGCACCUCAGCCAGGUCCCGGGAGUGGGAGGAGGACAGAUGGCCUCUGCCUGGAGUCAGGGGUCUCUGCCCAGGCCUGUCCCUGCGGCUCCCGCUUUCUGGAUCUCAUGGCACGGCUGCUUCUUGCGGACCUUGUGUUGGGAACUCCUGAGGUUCAGGAGGCGGCCAGGCACCGUGGGGGAUGCUGUGUAGACAGCAGUCAAAGGAAGGAGUGUGUUGGGGGGUGCUGUGUGUGUGUUGUGAUGGCUGUGUGUGCCUGUGUGUAUGUGAGUGUGUAUGUUUUGAUGCCUGUGUGUGUCGGUGUGUGUGUGAGUGUGUGUGUGCCUGUGUGUGAGUGUGGUGCCUGUGUGUGGUGAGCUACAUGCCUGAGUGUGGGUGGGUGUAGUGAGUGGUGUGUGGUAUGGUAUGUGUGUGGUUUAUGGUACAUGGUUGUGGUGUGUGUGUGUAUGUGGUAUGUGGCUGUAGGGUGUUUGGUGUAUGUGUGUGGUGUGUGGUUUGUGUGUGGUUGUAGGGUGUGUGCAUGUGUGUGUGAUGUGUGUGG
rnacentral:lncRNA from 1 species